rnacentral:sRNA from 1 species
UAAUUGGGGUGAGUAUAAAGAGGAAUUAGGAACCCUGAAUGUACUCCUUAUUUAAAGAUAUGCAGUAUCCUUUUUGCAAAUGAUAUCCUUUUAAAAGUAUCACUCAAAUUUCUAAACUUUAUCUUAAUACCUGUCACAUAUUAUAGUCUUGAAUUGGAAUUUUGGUUGAAUUACAAGGAAUUUAAGUAUCAGUCUUCAUCAUAAAGAAAUUUAAGAUGAAUAAAUUGAAGAAAAUACUAAAAUAAUUUAAGAAGGAAAUGAUAUUUCUUUGUUUAAAAAUAACAGGCAAAGGUUUAUAUGGAGCUUGUUUGUAAUACAUCAUUAUUUUCUAAUCUUUGUGUUUUUCUCCCAAAUUUUUAUAGCCUAUAUUCAAAGGAAUUAGGCUUAUCAAAGCUGUUUUUAUAAUUUUGUAUUAUGAAAUGCCUACUAUAAUUAGAAUAAAAUUGAUUGACUUGAAAGGGAACCCUUUUUUCCCCAUUAAUUCAAAACCCUUUGACGAGUAAAAAUGGCCGUAUAUUGUUAUCUAUAGCCGUGUUAAACCAUGGCCUCAGAUUCACUGCAGCUCUCCUCUUAAUAUGUAGACAAGUAGUACCUCUUUUUUGUUGUAAUGCUUAGUUCAUAGUAUGCUCUUAUUUGAAUUCUUUUUGCCUCUACCUAGGAACUUAAUGAGGUUAGACUUUAUCAAAUAUAAGUAUCUGGAAAGAGCUACUGAUUUUAUGUUGUUCUAUGAACCAGUUACUACUUUAAAAUAAGUUAGCCAACAAUAAAAGGAUUCCUUUAGUAGCUCAUGUUCUUUGUUUGCAUUAGUGAAUAAUGAAGUCUAGAAAGAAUUGUUUUAAAUUGCUUUUUUUACAGUUCCAAUCAUUUUUUUAUUUGAGAAAAUUUGAAUCUCAAAACAAAAAUUUUCUUCAAUGUUUAAUACAUCAUAUCAAGGUAUUGUAUUUACUUUUUUUCACUAAUGAGCAGAUUUUAGAAAAUUCCUGUAACUACCGGGGGGCACUGCUGUUAACUUUUUUCGAUUAAUUUGGUUAAGCCACUAUGCUUCCUCCUCAGGAAAUUAAAAUGAGUUUAAUUUAAUCUGUGCUUUCCUGGCAUAAGGAGGUGUGGGAUUUCUGCUGCUUAAUUAUUUUGUGGCCCCUAGCUCUAAGUCCUUGCACAAGUGGGAUAUAUUUUGAAUAUUGACCAUCUAGCUUGAUGUCUCAUACGAAAAGAUAUUUUUUACACAGUUUUUAAUAUUUCCAUAGUUUAUUUUCAAAGGGACUGUAAUGCAUAUUACUUAUUAAAAGCAUUUUUUCCCCCAACUUUGAUGGGGAAAAGCAUAUCAACAGAUACCUACUUUUGUAGAUGGCUAUAAAAAUUGUUACCCAAAAGGCUUUCUUAGAGCAAAUUGUCUGUCAUGAUUUUCCCUGCCUGCCUCCAUGGGACUGUCUAUUGUUGGAGGGAACAGCAAACAUCCAUAAGACGUUUUUUUUUUGUGGCUAUAACAUUCAGGAUAGAAUUGUCUGUCAUUUACUGCUUAAAUUGAUAUUUUGUAUACUUAGGGAUUAUGAAAAAAGUUUGUGUUAAUAUUGCAUUAUUAAAGCACAUGUUUAAAGAUAAUUAUUAGAUUUUAAGUUCACAAUGCUUCAUGUAUUGUUUAUUCCUGUGAUUUUAUUUUUACUUUAGGGAUUUAUUCUUCAUUGCCUGUUGAAGUUCCUCUGAAUCACAGACGGUUUGUUUGUGAUCUAACUCAAGCUGAUCGUCUUGCCCUCUAUGAUUUCGUAGUUGAGGAGACAAAGAAAAAGCGCUCUGAUUCUCAAAUUGUUGAAAAUGACAGCGAUCUCUUUGUAGACUUGGCUGCCAAAAUCAACCAAGAUAAUAGUCGAAAAAGUCCAAAAUCCUACCUUGAAAUCCUGGCAGAAGUAAGAGAUUAUAAAAGAAGACGCCAGUCCUAUAGAGCCAAGAAUGUCCACAUAACCAAGAAAUCAUAUACUGAGGUGAUUCGAGAUGUGAUAAAUGUGCACAUGGAAGAACUCAGCAAUCAUUGGCGAGAAGAGCAAGAGAAGGCAGAGGAUGAUACUGAAAAGAAUGAAGAAAGGCGAUCAGCUUCGGUAGAUUCACGGCAGUCUGGUGGAAGCUAUUUGGAUGCUGAGUGUUCACGACAUAGAAGGGAUAGGAGUAGAAGCCCACAUAAAAGAAAAAGAAAUAAGGAUAAAAACUGUGAGUCGAGAAGAAGGAAAGAGAGGGAUGGGGAAAGACACCAUAGUCAUAAAAGAAGAAAGCAAAAAAUAUAAAUGAAGUACUUGUACCUAUAUUAAUUAUGCUUAUGCCAUGAUAACCAAUAUACAGAUAUAUUAAUUGGAAUUCCUUUGCAUAGGAGAAUGUUUUUAUGAUCUGUUUAGUGCUUAUUAUUUUCCAAUAAAUAUGCUUCAAACCAUGAGUACACUAUUAGGCCCUACAACUUUGUUUUCCUUAUAUUCUGUUAGAUGAUUUGCUUCCUAUAACUCAUCUUGUUUUGUUCUUUUUGCUAAUAGAUGUAUCUCAAAAAUUCUUUAAUUAAGUCAAUAUUUAUCAUAUGUAAAUUAAACAUGAAUACAUUCUC